GUCUAGGCGGCUCCGUGUGUCGUGCGUGAAAGCUCCCGGCUCAACCGGGAGAGGUCGGGCGAAACUGCGGAGCUUGAGGGCUGGAGGGGGAAGUGGAACUGUCGGAGUAGCGGUGAAAUGCGCAGAUACCGACAGGUACCUCGAUAGCGAAGGCAGCUUCCUGGCCAGACCCUGACGCUGAAGCGCGAAAGCGUGGGGAGCAAACCGGAUUAGAUACCCGGGUAGUCCACGCCGCAAACGAUGCCGGUUAGGUGUUGGCCCCUUAACGAGGGUCAGUGCCGCAGCUAACGCGUUAAACCGGUCGCCUGAGGAUUACGGCCGCAAGGCUAAAACUCAAGGGAAUUGACGGGGGCCCGCACAAGCGGUGGAGCACGUGGUUUAAUUCGAUGAUAAGCGAAGAACCUUACCUGGGCUUGACAUAUACGUGGUACAGAACCGAAAGGGGAUGGACCGUUUCCUUCGGGAUUCGGAGCGUAUACAGGUGCUGCAUGGCCGUCGUCAGCUCGUGCCGUGGGGCGUCGGGUUAAGUCCCGCAACGAGCGCAACCCCUGCACUUAGUUGCCAGCACUUCGGGUGGGCACUCUAAGGGGACUGCCGGCGAAUAGCCGGAGGAAGGAGGGGAUGACGUCAGGUCAGUAUGGCCCUUAUGCCCAGGGCCACACACGUGCUACAAUGGCCGGUACAGAGGGUCGCCAACCCGCAAGGGGGAGCCAAUCCCACAAAGCCGGCCUCAGUUCGGAUUGGGGUCUGCAAUUCGACCCCAUGAAGUCGGAAUCGCUAGUAAUC
rnacentral:rRNA from 1 species